AUCCAGCAAUGCCGCGUGUGUGAAGAAGGCCUUCGGGUUGUAAAGCACUUUUGUCCGGAAAGAAAACUUCUGCCCUAAUACGGCGGGAGGAUGACGGUACCGGAAGAAUAAGCACCGGCUAACUACGUGCCAGCAGCCGCGGUAAUACGUAGGGUGCAAGCGUUAAUCGGAAUUACUGGGCGUAAAGCGUGCGCAGGCGGUUCGCUAAGACAGAUGUGAAAUCCCCGGGCUUAACCUGGGAACUGCAUUUGUGACUGGCGGGCUAGAGUAUGGCAGAGGGGGGUAGAAUUCCACGUGUAGCAGUGAAAUGCGUAGAGAUGUGGAGGAAUACCGAUGGCGAAGGCAGCCCCCUGGGCCAAUACUGACGCUCAUGCACGAAAGCGUGGGGAGCAAACAGGAUUAGAUACCCUG
rnacentral:rRNA from 1 species